UCCGCACAACACCAUGGGGGAAACAGAGGGUUAAUACAUGAACAAUAAUUAGGGGAAUGAAAAACAGGUGUGUAGAAACAAAGACAAAAACAAAUGGAAAAUGAAAAGUGGAUCGGCGAUGGCUAGUAGACCGAACAAGGAGAGGAACCGACUUCAGCUGAAGUAGUGACAGUGGGUCUAAUCCUGAAUGCUGAUUGGUUAAAAGCUCAUUCCAGCUGGUGUCUAUUCCGCUAAAUCUAUGACGUUAAAAUGCCUAUUUAAUCUGUUCCAUUUGACUGUGCAAGCCACUGUCUCAUCAGCCCAGGCAGAUACCUUGUCACUGAAGAUUUCCUUCAAAACAUUUGCCUACAGUUACUGUGUAGGGCACUGCAAGGUUGGGUGACCAGGGCCAUCUGGGACUGCCUCCUGGAGGAAUUCAGCCGUGUGAAAGGGAAAGGGGGAUACCUAGUCAGUUGUACAACUGAAUGCCUUCAACUGAAAUGUGUCUUCCUCAUUUAACCCAACCCCUCUGAAUCAGAGAGGUGCGGGGGGCUGCCUUAAUCGACAUCCAAUUCUUUGGCGCCUGGGAACAUAACUUCAUGAGGAUGGACACGAGGAACAGGAGGGGAUCUGCAGCUCACAGGAUGUUUCAAGGAUGGGGUCCAACAACGCAGCAAGAGAGGCCAUCUGUAUGCGGGAGAGCUUCACCUCCUACCUCUUCAAAGAGGGUGCUGUUCCCUGGCAACACCAUGACUACACUAUGCACAACCAAAGCCUCUUUUAAGAGCCAUCCACAUUGCAAUAAGAGUAUUCUUACAUUUACUUAGAUAUGCCGACUGCAGUUAUUCAAUUCCCUGUGUCUCUCCCUUUGAUUUCUACUUCUCAGGUGAGGGUGUUGUUUAGGUAAGGGUGUGAUGUCUGUACAACAACAAAACAGGCAAUUUAAGUCACCCAUAUUGAAAAAAUGUAGAACAAUUACAAACCCUAUAACCCACACUUAAACACAUGUAUCAAUCUGAUUGAUGGAUUGUGUUGUGCAGUAAACAGGCUCAGGUGUAAAACUGUGGCUCCUUCCACCUUCAAAUAAUAGGCAAGAGGGCAAACCAUGGAGAAUAGUAAGACACUUCAUUAUUUCUAUAACUCCACUAUUGUUUGUCCUCGUGUGUUUGUGCAUGUUUUUCAGUAUAAAGUACUCUGCGGCCACUUAAGUGUGGACACCAGGUGAGGCCAUACACAGAUUCCUGUUGAACACUGUCUCUUUAACUAACUUAUUUUCUCAAUGGUCUCUCUCCUUCACUUCAACCCUCUCACCCCUUCUCCCUAAAUCCUCUAGGUUAUAGUAUAUCAGCUGUGUCAGGGAACCCCUCCCGCAUCUGAACUGGCUACAUAGAGGGAACAGCAUGAUCAGAGGUCACUUGGUCGGGUCAACAGGAAGUAUUAUUAAAGAGAUGCUUUACAUUGAAAUACAGAUAGAUGUGCAGUAGUCCCAGAGUUAAUGAUUCAAGGUCAGUUUUUCAUUUCACCUCCUGAUGAUUAUGAUGACUGACAGUGUUAGAAUAAAGAAAGAACACAAGGCUUAAACAUGCUCUCUCUUUCUCCAUCUGUCUCUCAUCUGCAGGCAUGUUUUGAUGUGAGAGAGUAUCCCAACCCCCAGUCCCGUCAUCACCACCUCACCCGCUCUUAAGAUAACCUUCAGGCCGAUUGGGAGCCCAAGGCUGGCUAGGAGACACCACCAGAGACACUGUCAUUUUGAUGAACUGAGAGAAUAUUAAUUCUAGAACUGUGAUUCAUUAAUCAUAUGGUGCCUUCUCUGCUCCUAUGUUCUUACCUCUUUCCCUUUCUGUCUUUUACACCUCUCUCAUUACCUCUUUCUCCCCCUGUUUUUAUAAUGCAGAUGUGCAUUGAACUACAGAUUGAACUUGUAUUUAUAAUAUUACAAUUAUAAUAUGUAUUAUGUAUUUAUAACACUUGGAAAAUAAACUUCUUUCAAUAAAGCGUUUCACAUUC